rnacentral:rRNA from 1 species
UAUAUUUUAUUUUAAUUUUUAAAUUUAGUUAAUAUUGAUAUUAAUAAAAAUAAUUUUUAUUUUAGUAAAUUUUAUUGAAUAAAUAAAAUUGUAUUUAUAGCUUAAAGUACUGUGAAGGAAUCUUAUAUUUACUUCUAUAAGGAGAUUAUAUAAUUGUACCUUUUGUAUCAGGGUUUACUUAAUUAAAACAAUUAUGAUUUGUUAAUCCCGAAAUUAUAAGAGAUAAAUAUUAGAUUAAUUUAAUGUUAUAUAUUUAUUUAUUACUAAUAUUUAGGAGUUAUAUGCUAUUCAUUUGUAAAUAUCUGGUUCUUUAAGAAUUGAAUUCAAUUCAUCUAUAAUACAUUUAUAAUAAUAAAUUUAUUUUUUAUUAUUUUUAUAGUAAUAUAUAGGGGGAUAAGCUCUUAUAUAUCUUUAUAAAUAUUAAAGAUAUUAAAUUAGGUAGGAUUAAUAAUUUCUUUCAUUUAUUUUGUUAAAAUUAUAUUUAUCUUAAGUUAAUAUUUAAUGUUAUUUUAAUUUUUUAUUAAAGUAUAUUUAUUUAAUUUAAAAUUAAUAAAAAAAAUGGUAAAAUCAGUAUAAAUAAUUAUUAUAUAAAUAGUAACUCGGCAAUUAUAAUAUUCACCUGUUUAACAAAAACAUGUCCUAAUGGAAUAUAUAUAUUAGGUCAAGCCUGCUCAGUGAUUUAUUUAAACAGCUGCAGUAAUUUGACUGUGCAAAGGUAGCAUAAUCAUUUGUCUUUUAAUUGAAGGCUGGUAUGAAUGGUUUAAUGAAAUAUUUACUUUCUUUUUAUAUUAUUUUUGAAUUUUAUUUUUGUGUGAAAAAGCAUAAAUGUUUUUGUAGGACGAGAAGACCCUAUAGAAUUUUAAUUAAAUAUAAAUUAUUAUUAUUUUUGAAUAUUAUAAAUUAAUAAGAUAUAUUAUAUUUUUGUUGGGGUGACAAAAAAAUACUAAUAACUUUUUUUAUUAAUUAUUUACUAAUGAGUAUAUAAAUGAUCCUAUUUUUUAGAUUAAAAGAUUAAAUUACCUUAGGGAUAACAGCGUAAUUUUAUUGGAGAGUUCUUAUCGAUAAUAUAGUUUGCGACCUCGAUGUUGGAUUAAAAUUAGGAUUUGGUGUAGAAGCUAUUUUUCUAGGUCUGUUCGACCUUUAAAAUUUUACAUGAUCUGAGUUCAGACCGGCGUGAGCCAGGUUGGUUUCUAUCCUCAAUUAUUAUUAUUAUUUUAGUACGAAAGGACCAAAUAUUAUAAAUAUUUUAUA